GGAAUCUGCUGGGGUUGUUUCAUAGGAGUAACUCGGAACAUUCGACUUGUUGGCUUUAUGUAAUUUAACCAUGAAGAAAUUUUGAUACUCUAGAUCUAGAGUAAAUACACUUAGGGACUUGAAAUUUCUUGUAUACAGCCCUCUUUUUCUACCCUCUCAUUAAAGUGAAGAUGGUUGAUGCCUUUGUGUCUUUUGCAGUUCAAAAACUGGGGGAUUUCCUCAUACAGGAAGCUUCCCUGCGUUUAAGUCUAAGUAAGGAUGUGCAGUGGCUGCGAAAUGAGCUUUUCUUCAUGCAGUCUUUCCUCAAAGAUGCAGAACAAAAGCAAGUUGAAGAUCAAAGAGUUCAACAAUGGGUGUUUGAGAUCAACUCUGUUGCUAAUGACGUUGUUGCUAUAUUGGAGACUUAUAGCUUCGAGGCUAGUAAAGGUGAUGACGAUAGAUUUGCUAAUCGUCUGAAGGCUUGCACCUGCAUCUGCAGGAAGGAGACAAAAUUCUACAACGUCAGCAAGGAGAUCCAAUCACUCAAGCAUCGAAUCAUGGAUAUCUCUCGCAAACGAGAGACUUAUGGUAUUACAAAUAUCAAUAAUGCAGUAGAAGGGCCAAGUAAUCGGUCAAACAAUCAGUCUGACAUGGUUAGAACGUUGAGGAGAACUACCUCAUAUGUAGAUGAGGAUCACAUUUUUGUUGGCUUUCAGGAUGUUGUAGAAAGAUUGCUAGCUGAACUUCUCAAAGCAGAGCCUCGCCAAAGUGUCAUCUCCAUUUACGGUAUGGGCGGAUUAGGCAAGACUACUCUUGCGAGAAACCUCUACACAAGUCCUAAUAUAGUCAAUAGUUUCCAUACACGUGCAUGGAUAUGUGUUUCUCAAGAGUACAACACAAUCGAUCUCCUUAGGAAUAUCAUAAAAUCCAUCGAAGGUUGCACCAAGGAAACUCUAGAUUUGUUGGAAAGGAUGACAGAAAAAAAAAACAAAUUUACCUUCGUAAUCUGUUAAAAGAACUCAAAUACCUUGUGGUGGUUGAUGAUUUAUGGCAUAGAGAAGCUUGGGAAAGUUUGAAACGAACAUUUCCAGAUAGCAAGAAUGGCAGCAGAGUUAUUAUUACCACGCGCAAAGAGGAUGUCGCUGAAAGAUCAGAUAACAAAGGUUUUGUCUAUAGACUUCGUUUCCUGCGCCAAGAAGAAAGUUGGGAUCUCUUUUGUAGGAAACUACUUGAUGUUCGGGCAAUGGUCUCAGCAAUGGAAAGUCUAGCUAAGGAUAUGGUGGACAAGUGUGGAGGUUUACCUCUUGCAAUUGUUGUAUUAAGCGGACUACUUUCACAUAAAAGGGGGCUAGAAGAAUGGCAAAAGGUGAAGGACCACCUCUGGCAGAACAUUAAAGACGACUCUAUUGAAAUCUCCUACAUACUAUCAUUGAGCUACAACGAUUUGUCAACUAAGCUCAAGCAGUGUUUCCUCUACUUUGGUAUUUUUCCAGAAGAUUAUGUGGUCCGUGUUGAUCACAUAUUAUGGUUGUGGAUGGCUGAAGGAUUCAUACCAACAGGAGAAGAAAUAAUGGAGGAUGUUGCUGAAGGCUUCUUGAAUGACUGAUAAGACGAAGCUUGAUACAAGUGGUAGGUACAUUUUGGGAAAAAGUUAGUAAAUGUAGGAUUCAUGAUCUACUUCGCGAUCUUGCCGUACAAAAAGCAUUGGAGGUAAACUUUUUUGACAUUUAUGAUCCAAGAAAGCACUCUGUAUCCUCCUUGUGUCUUAGACAUGCCAUUCAUAGUCAAGCAAAAAGGUAUCUCUCACUAGAUCUUUCUAACUUGAAGUUGAGGUCACUUAUGUUCGUUGAUCAAGACUUUUCAAAGAUGGGUAUUAUAAAGUUCCGUAAUAUGUUCCAACAUCUAUAUGUGUUGUGCUUGGAGAUUCAUGUUGACAAUAUAUCUAUAAUACCUGCUGCCAUAGGAAGUUUGUACCACCUCAAGUUCUUAAGACUGAGAGGUAUCCAUGAUCUUCCGUCUUCCAUUGGCAACCUCAAGAAUUUACAGACACUUCUCGUCAAUGACUAUGGAUACUUUUGCCAACUACCCCGUGAGACAGCUGACCUAAUAAAUCUAAGACAUUUAGUUGCUCCGUAUACAAAACCUCUGAAAUGCAUAAGCAAACUCACUAGUCUUCAAGUUCUUAAAGGCAUCCAUUGUGAUCAGUGGAGAGAUGUUGACCCUGUUGAUUUAGUCAAUCUUCGAGAAUUAAGCAUGUAUAAAAUUACCAUAUCUUACACCCUAAACAACAUUAGCAGCUUGAAAAACCUUAGAACUCUCAGAUUGUUGUGUAAAGAUAAUGAAAUAUUCCCAGCCCUUGAAUUUCUUAUUUCUUGUCAAAUGCUCUACAAAUUAUGGUUAGAAGGAAGAAUAGAGAAACUGCCUCUGUCGGACCAAUUUCCAAAUUCCAUCAUAAUGAUGACCCUUUAUCACUCACAACUCACGGAAGAUCCGAUGCCUAUUUUGGGAAUAUUGCCAAACCUAAGGAAUCUGGAUUUAUUUAGAGCUUAUGAUGGAAAAGAAAUUACCUGCAGUGAUAGCAGCUUCAGUCAACUGGAGUUCCUUCGUCUUGAUUGUCUUGAGAACCUUGAAAGAUGGCAUUUAGCCACAAGUGCCAUGCCAAAUAUUAAAGGUAUUGAUAUCCAUCGUUGUCCAAAGCUAAAUGAGAUUCCCGAGAGAAUGAAAGACGUGGACAGAACUCCUUUUCGAUGAAGCUUUUCAAGCAUAUAUGAUGUCCUAUUAUCGGCCUCUUUCAUAAUCGUAGAGGUAAUAAAUCCCAAUACACAAUAACCAUUUCUUUAAUUCCUUUUAGUGUUAGUGGGAGCAACUAAUAUGAAUUUAAAUACAGUUCUAUGGAAAAUGACUCUCACCCUUUUUUAUGAAACUAUUCUGAUAAGCAAAUUACAAAAAUUUCCUCGGAAAUGACUUUCAUCGUACGAAAACAAACCCAGUUUUAUGAGCAAUCAAUUAUUUGGUUGACACUUGAUAUUGUCUUGAACAUUUUAUAAUUUUUAUCAUAAUUGAUAAAUCUUUUGUCUUCUAUUUAGUAUUAUAUUAAAUAGUUUCUUACAAUUUGAGUUAAGCAGGGGAAGAAAGAAGCUGUCAGAGGAAAUAAAAUAGCAGAUGGGGGUAUUUUUGCCAAGCACUUGAAGGGAUUGGUAUGGCUAAAGUUGGAUUGUUCAUCGGAGCAUUAAUCAGGUUUCAGGGCUGUCACAACCUUGAGUGUGUUUUCAGUGUUUUUUGUUUGUUUGUUUUGAGCUUUUUGAGUGUAUGGAAUUGGUUUGAAGAGAAUUGUUUUUGGGAUUCUAUGCAAAAAUGAUUUUCUGAUGUUUUAAAUAAUUGUUCCACCUGAUCAAUGCGAUAGGCAGCUUUGUCUAUCUCAAUUUUCUAGGCAUUCUGUAUUAACAUUCAUGAUCCCUAGAUACUGCACAUGAGUUAUCAAACUACAAAACGAAGGUACCUUCUUGUAUUGUUCAAUUUGAUUUCAGAAACCACAUCAAAAUUCCUGCUUUGGAUAUCAGGUCCUGCUUUAAACUGUCCAGAUGAUGCCCUCUUACGUCUACUUAAAUGCUGUGUUCACAUUCAUUUCAUGCUAGUAAAUAGUAACUAAGGUCAAGAUUGCAUCAUCAAUAAUGGAAACAACAUCAACAGAGUAAACAAAACUGAAAUACAGACGAUGACUCACAAAGCACAGAUUGCUGUUCAUAAAUUCAAGUAACUAUGCUUUUUCACACUGAACACAUCAAUUUCACCAUAAUAAUUGGUUGGGCAACUCAAUUAGACGACACCAAAACCCAAUAUGAAGAUUAUAAGACUUCAUAUUUACAUACUUAACAAAUUAUUUAAGGAGAAUAAAGUGUACUCUAUUGGAAAUCUUAUGGAAAAUACUCUACCAUGACGAAUACUAAUACUCCAUCGCGAAUAUUAACACUUCAUCACGAAUACUAAGUACUAACACUUCAUCGCAAACACUUGUAAGGAAUUCACAUAGGCAUAGCUUGAGGUGUGCUUCUGUCAAUGUCUUAACGAUAUUUCACCCGGUAUAGGUGUAUCCCUCAAAAUUCAACAAGUUUUUCUAGUAUAAAACUAGGAGCCAAAAUCUAAUAAAGAUUUAAAAGAACAAAAUCCAGCACACCAAUAAAAUAUGAGAGGAAAAAAUUAUUUCUUAGAGAUGUAUUUUUGUCUCCCUCUAUAUCUUUGUAAAAGAGGAGGACAUUAUUUAUAGGGAAAACAUAUAUGAGGUUAAAGCCUCCAACGGAAAGAGAGAAUUAAUGCCAAUAGGAUUAAUGACACAUGCUGCAACGGAAAGAGAGAAAGAAAGACGUGGAGAUGUUGACGCCUUUCAAGCAUAUAUGAAGUCUUAUUUCAUAGCAGCAAAGGAGAAGACGCUAUCACUUGAAGAAAUUUACGGUUGAUGAAGUUGGGCUAUCGAAACUUCAACUUUGCUACAUGGUCUCCAUCAACUAACUAGACCUGAAAAUGCCUUAUGGAGACCAGAUGUUGGUGUGGCAUUAUAUCUAGGGAGGCAAGUACAUGCUUACGGUAACGAUUGAGGAGUUGAGUGUCUUCAUGACGACCGCAUUGAUCGCGUUUUAUGGGAAGAUGGGUUGUUUGGUUUAUGCUUCAAAGAUAUUUGAUGCAAUGGUUAGCAAGCAAGUUUGCUCUUGGAAUUCUAUGAUUUCUUCCCUAGCUUUGAAUGUAAGAGAGAAGCAGGCAUUAACGAUGUAUGAGAAGAUGAGGGCAAAGGGGCUGCAACCAAAUGAGAUUACCUUCGUGGCUGUUCUAUCAGCUUGUGCACGUGCCAAGCUUGUCUAUUUCGGUUUUAAAUUGUUUGAAGCAAUGCCAAAUGAAUUUGGACUUGUAGCUAAGAUGGAACAUUAUGGUUGUGUGGUUGAUCUCUUAGGGAGACAUGGGCUACUACAGGAAGCGUACGACUUCAUAAAGAAGAUGCCUUUUGAAGCUGAUGCCACUGUCUUGGGGGUUCUGAUGGGUGCUUGUAGACUUCAUGGAGCUAUUGAAUUGGGAAAUGAAGUAGCACAACUACUACUUGAGUCACAACUGAAUCAUUCAGGGCGUUAUGUGCAUCUCUCAAGAAUUUAUGCUGGCGCAGAGAGGUGGGAUCAUGCUGCUGCCUUGAGAAAAGCAAUAUUAGAUGCUGGAAUACACAGUUUUAUUUAGUGGAGCUUAUAACUGCCACAGCUUGGUGAUGGAAUCUCGACUCAUCAAAAUCAGCUAAGUCAUAGCUUGACAGAUCAAGGAGGAUGCAUUUUUGUGAAAAUGCACAACAAACCUGGUUCCAAAGUCUGUUUGGCGAGGUCUCUAUGAAAGUUGUUGUUUGGGACUGAUGCAUAGUUGUUGUAUAGCAGUGAUAUCCAGGUACUUAAAUGACACAACGCUAUGAGCAGCUCAUGAGGCCGUGUUGGAUACUAUAGCGUGUAAUGCUGAAUUCAUUGAUGAUAGUAACAGAAGACUCCUUCUGAGAGAGGCCGUGUUGGAUACUAGAUAUUCUGAGUUGUGGAUUGGAAGAUUCCUAUUUAUGAGAUCAUAGUCUCUUAGUUGUGGAUUGGAAGAUUCCUAUUUAUGAGAUCAUAGUCUCUUUCUCGUGAUGGGCAUUUUGCUGCUGCUUCAAUGAAAAAAGACUGAAACUUUGGCCCAAGGUGUCCUGAACUUAUGUUCUAUGUUUGUGUUAAUGUUAAAGAGUAAAGUGAAAAUGUUUUUAGUGAGGCAGGCACAUAUCGUCCGAUUGAAUGAUCUAAAGAUUCAAAAUUUGUGUCUGAUUUCUGUUUAUCAGUUGAAUUUAUUUCUA